rnacentral:piRNA from 1 species
UGAUGAUGUACCGAUCGUUGUCCAGGA